UACAGAGGGCCCAAGCGUUGUUCGGAUUCACUGGGCGUAAAGGGUGCGUAGGUGGUCGAGUAAGUCUGAUGUGAAAUCUUCGAGCUCAACCCGAAAAUGGCAUUGGAUACUAUUCGGCUGGAGGGUUGGAAGGGGGACUGGAAUUCUCGGUGUAGCAGUGAAAUGCGUAGAUAUCGGGAGGAACACCAGUGGCGAAGGCGGCUUCCUGGCCUGUUCUUGACGCUGAGGCGCGAAAGCUAGGGGAGCAAACGGG
rnacentral:rRNA from 1 species